UACGGGGGGUGCGAGCGUUGUCCGGAAUCACUGGGCGUAAAGGGCGCGUAGGUGGUCUGAUAAGGGUGUGGUGAAAGCCCGGGGCUCAACCCCGGGUCGGCCGUGCCGACUGUUAGACUAGAGUGAUGUAGGGGAGACUGGAAUUCCUGGUGUAGCGGUGAAAAUGCGCAGAUAUCAGGAGGAACACCGAUGGCGAAGGCAGGUCUCUGGGCAUUAACUGACGCUGAGGAGCGAAAGCAUGGGAGCG
rnacentral:rRNA from 1 species